AGCGGACUAAUGGGAGCUGCUCCCGUUAGUAGCGCGGACGGGUGAGUAACACGUGGGCAACCUACCUGUAAGACUGGGAUAACUUCGGGAAACGGAGCUAAUACCGGAUGACAUAAAGGAACUCCUGUUCCUUUAUGAAAGAUGGCCUCGGCUAUCACUUACAGAUGGGCCCGCGGCGCAUAGCUAGUUGGUGAGGUAACGGCUCACCAGGCCGACGAUGCGUAGCCGACCUGAGAGGGUGAUCGGCCACACUGGGACUGAGACACGGCCCAGACUCUACGGGAGGCAGCAGUAGGGAAUCUUCCGCAAUGGACGAAAGUCUGACGGAGCAACGCCGCGUGAGCGAUGAAGGCCUUCGGGUCGUAAAGCUCUGUUGUUAGGGAAGAAUAAGUGCUAGUUGAAUAAGCUGGCACCUUGACGGUACCUAACCAGAAAGCCACGGCUAACUACGUGCCAGCAGCCGCGGUAAUACGUAGGUGGCAGCGUUGUCCGGAAUUAUUGGGCGUAAAGCGCGCGCAGGCGGUUUCUUAAGUCUGAUGUGAAAGCCCCCGGCUCAACCGGGGAGGGUCAUUGGAAACUGGGAAACUUGAGUGCAGAAGAGGAAAGUGGAAUUCCAAGUGUAGCGGUGAAAUGCGUAGAGAUUUGGAGGAACACCAGUGGCGAAGGCGACUUUCUGGUCUGUAACUGACGCUGAGGCGCGAAAGCGUGGGGAGCAAACAGGAUUAGAUACCCUGGUAGUCCACGCUGUAAACGAUGAGUGCUAAGUGUUAGAGGGUUUCCGCCCUUUAGUGCUGAAGUUAACGCAUUAAGCACUCCGCCUGGGGAGUACGGUCGCAAGACUGAAACUCAAAGGAAUUGACGGGGGCCCGCACAAGUGGUGGAGCAUGUGGUUUAAUUCGAAGCAACGCGAAGAACCUUACCAGGUCUUGACAUCCUCUGACAACCCUAGAGAUAGGGCUUUCCCUUCGGGGACAGAGUGAC
rnacentral:rRNA from 1 species